GAGUUUGAUCCUGGCUCAGGAUGAACGCUGGCGGCGUGCCUAAUACAUGCAAGUCGAGCGAACGGACGAGAAGCUUGCUUCUCUGAUGUUAGCGGCGGACGGGUGAGUAACACGUGGAUAACCCACCUAUAAGACUGGGAUAACUUCGGGAAACCGGAGCUAAUACCGGAUGAUAUUUUGAACCGCAUGGUUCAAAAGUGAAAGACGGUCUUGCUGUCACUUAUAGAUGGAUCCGCGCUGCAUUAGCUAGUUGGUAAGGUAACGGCUUACCAAGGCAGCGAUGCAUAGCCGACCUGAGAGGGUGAUCGGCCACACUGGAACUGAGACACGGUCCAGACUCCUACGGGAGGCAGCAGUAGGGAAUCUUCCGCAAUGGGCGAAAGCCUGACGGAGCAACGCCGCGUGAGUGAUGAAGGUCUUCGGAUCGUAAAACUCUGUUAUUAGGGAAGAACAUAUGUGUAAGUAACUGUGCACAUCUUGACGGUACCUAAUCAGAAAGCCACGGCU
rnacentral:rRNA from 1 species